GAGGGAAUGGCGGGUCUUUGAAUUAACCUAUAUAAAGUAAAUAGAUGCAAAACAAUUCAUUAACAUUCCUUGAGUAAACAUGAUUUCAUCAAAUAAGGAUAAUGUGUUCUUGGAGACUGCUGAAUUGGCAUGUUUCUAAUGCUUUGAAUGAACAUGAUUAAGUUGUGUCUGGGGUGGCCUCCAGUCCUGAGGUGGCGCUAGUGCACCACUUUCUAAGACAAGAAGAAGCCGGAAAGUUUCAAGCCAGAGAGCCGUUCGCCUCAGUCAGCCCGGUCCUACUCUUCAGUCUCAUCUCGCUGGAAUAGUGUUGUCAUGUGUGAAGAUAUACACGAAAUUGAGACUUCUGCUGCACUGUUCGAAGUCUGUAAGAUCAGUGCUGAAUUCAAAAGAAUAACCACAGUUCCCCUGCAAUCCAAGCAACUGUUGCUGAAUUGGCUGAUUUGUACAAGAUGCACCAUUUCUGAGGACUUCUGGCACAGUGGCCUGCACUGUUCAAAGUUUGCAAGAUCAGUGCUGAAUUGAAAAGAAUCACCACAGUCCCACUGCAAUGCCCUGCACUGUUCCAAGUCCACAAGGUCAUGGAUGAAGUUGCCGUAGACGAAGCAAUUGAAGACAUCACUAUUGGAAUCUGCUCUGACAGAAGAUUGGGCAUCCCACCCUUAGGACAUUGUCAGUUUUAGUGUAUGUCUGUCACACACGUGACACCCAAUCGGAAAGGACUCUUUUUUUCAGCAACUAAAAAACAGCAGUUAUUUUUGUUUCUUUAAGUGAAAUGUACCUUUUUUCUAGAGAUCAAUUUGCUUGUAUGCACUUCCAGCUCCUUGCUGGUUUAAGAAUAGUACUUGAGUGUGCAUAUGUUUUGUACAUACUGUGUUGAUUUUGACCCAAACUAAAGACAAACAAAAUACCAAGACUAGACUUAAAUAAGACUGGGUAAUAACACAAAUGUGGUCCACAAAGAGGACAACCAAAUGAAUGGUGGACUGCCAGAUGCACGCGCACAUGCAUACAGUAUACGCGCAUGAACGCACACACGCACACCUACAAGUGUG